AGAGUAAUGCAGCUCUGCUGGCCUCCUGGGCUACAGUGCCCUUGGCCCUAUGGACUGGAGUCGCAGCAUUAGGCUGAUUUCCCUUCUGCUUUGGAGGAGACAUUUCAGGAGAUAAAUGGCAUCACCGCAGCACUGGCUGAAGAGCUCUUUGAGAAAGGAGAACAGCUCCUGGGGGCCGGCGAGGUCUUUGCCAUUGGACCCCUGCAGCUGUAUGCCGUCACGGAGCAGCUGCAGCAGGGAAAGCCCACGUGCGCCAGUGGGGAUGCCAAGACCGACCUCGGGCACAUCCUGGACUUCACCUGUCGCCUUAAGUACCUUAAGGUUUCUGGCACAGAAGGACCUUUUGGGACCAGCAACAUUCAGGAGCAGCUCCUGCCGUUCGACCUAUCAAUAUUCAAGUCCCUGCAUCAGGUGGAGAUAAGUCACUGUGAUGCUAAGCACAUCAGAGGGCUGGUUGCAUCGAAGCCCACCUUAGCCACGCUGAGUGUCCGCUUCUCAGCAACCUCGAUGAAGGAAGUCCUUGUUCCUGAAGCCUCAGAAUUUGAUGAGUGGGAGCCUG
rnacentral:sRNA from 1 species